rnacentral:rRNA from 1 species
UGGGGAAUAUUGCACAAUGGGCGAAAGCCUGAUGCAGCAACGCCGCGUGAGUGAUGAAGGUCUUCGGAUUGUAAAGCUCUGUCUUUUGGGACGAUAAUGACGGUACCAAAGGAGGAAGCCACGGCUAACUACGUGCCAGCAGCCGCGGUAAUACGUAGGUGGCGAGCGUUGUCCGGAUUUACUGGGCGUAAAGGGUGCGUAGGCGGAUGUUUAAGUGAGAUGUGAAAUACCCGGGCUUAACUUGGGUGCUGCAUUUCAAACUGGAUAUCUAGAGUGCAGGAGAGGAGAAUGGAAUUCCUAGUGUAGCGGUGAAAUGUGUAGAGAUUAGGAAGAACACCAGUGGCGAAGGCGAUUCUCUGGACUGUAACUGACGCUGAGGCACGAAAGCGUGGGUAGCAAACAGGAUUAGAUACCCUGGUAGUCCACGCCGUAAACGAUGAGUACUAGGUGUAGGAGGUAUCGACCCCUUCUGUGCCGCAGUAAACACA